GGCUUAUUGAAGUGGUUUAUGUGCGGGGGAAAAAAAGUGUCCUUGUUUUCAUUUUUCAAAGUAGAGUUAAUAUAAAUUGUCCCUUUUUUAUGAAUUCAAACAGCACCAGUCUUGCAAAGACUUGUCAUUAAGCAGCAUUGGGAAGUCUGUAAUUGGACAGUCCCAGAAAGGCGGGUUAGAAUGGGAGGGCUUGUAAAGGCUCCAGACAAG